rnacentral:rRNA from 1 species
AUGGCGCUCUAUCUGCUCUUCGAGUCCGCGUCGGGGUACGCGCUCUUCCACGCCUCCGGCAUCCGCAAGAUCGGGCAGACCGUGGACGCCGUCCGCCCCACCCUGCUGGACCUCAAGCGGUUCAGCAAGGCCGUCAAGCUCGCCAGGUUCACCCCCUUCCUCUCCGCCGUCGACGCCACCAACCAGUGCAACGCCGUCUCCGAAGGGAUCACGACCGACGAGUUGGUAAACUUCCUGGUGCUCAACCUGCCCAAGGUCAAGGAGUGGAAGAAGGGCAAGUUCACCGUUGGCGUCGCCCAGCCCAAGGUCGGGUCCCGCAUCACCGAGGCCACCGGAAUCCCUUGCCAGUCGGACGACUAUAUCCAGGAACUGCUUGGUGCGGUGCGGCUGCACUUCGGUCAGUUGUUUGACCAACUCAAGCCAUAUGACCUGGAGAACUAUAGCAGGGCAAGUGCGGAUAACAUGGUGACUCAAACUAUCCUUCUGUUGGAUACACUUGAUAAGGGUGUCAAUUUCUUUACCAUGAGAGUGAGGGAGUGGUAUGGAUGGCAUUUUCCUGAGCUGGUCAAAAUCGUGAAUGACAACUACCUUUAUGCUAAGCUUGCCAAAUUUGUAGCAAACAAAUCUGAUUUGUCAGAGAAAGACAUUCCAGCUUUAGCAGAUCUGAUUGGAGAUGAGGACAAGGCAAAAGAAAUUGUUGAAGCAGCAAAGGUAUCUACGGGCCAGGACCUUUCACCAGUUGAUUUGAUCAAUGUCCAACAGUUUGCUCAAAGGGUCAUGAAUCUAUCUGAGUACCGUAAAAAUAUCUAUGAGUAUCUGGUGACAAAGAUGAAUGAUAUUGCACCAAAUCUGACGUCAUUGAUUGGUGUAAGGGUUGGAGCUCAGUUAAUCUCUAAUGCUGGCAGUCUUUCGAAUCUUGCAAAAUUACCUUCCUCCACUCUUCAGAUACUAGGUGCUGAGAAGGCGCUGAGAAGAGCUCUCAAAACAGGUGGAAACACACCGAAGUAUGGCCACAUAUUCCACUCAUCUUUCAUUGGCCGUGCAUCGACGAAGAACAAGGGAAGAAUGGCUAGAUACCUAGCAAGUAAAUGCUCAAUGGCUUCACGCAUUGACUGUUAUUCAGAUAUGAGUAGCUCCAUUUUCGGUGAGAAGAUGCGGGAACAAGUCGAGGAGAGAUUAGACUUUUGUGAAAAGGAUGUUGCAUCACGCAAGAACCUUGAUGUAAUGAACCCUGCAAUUGAGGGUAUGACGAACAGAGUCUCAGAGGAGGAUGAUGCUCAGAAGGAGAAUGGUUGGAAAAAGGAGUCUAAUUCCAAGGCUGAUGAUGACGCUAUGCAUCUUGAUAAGCCUGCUAUGCACUCGACGUUGUGCACCCGAUUGGCCAUCGUCGAACUGUAG